ACACUUCAGGACUUCUCAUAAAGCGCGUCAGACAUUACUUAUGAGAGGAGGCAGAGGACCUUUGCCACAAGUGAGGAACGGGCCGACCAGGAGAAGUGGAGUCUGGUUGUUUAUAUGCAAGUGGAAGAGAGAGAGAGAGAGAGACCCUCCUCUCCGUGGGUCAGCCGAUGAGAGAAGAUGAAGAGCCAAAUCACCAACGCCCUCUCGGACUUCUUCUUCGAGUAUGAGACCCCGCGCCAGGUGCUGGUGAGGAACAGGCGGGUGGGAGUGGUGUGCCGUCUGAUCCAGCUGGGGGUCCUGGCCUACAUCAUUGGGUGGGUGUUCAUCUAUGAGAAAGGCUACCAGUCCUCAGACACAGCCGUGAGCUCUGUCUUCAGCAAAAUGAAAGGAGUGGGCUAUACCAAUGUGACUGGAACUGAGAGAAUCUGGGAUGUGGCCGACUACGUCUUCCCUCCGCAGGGAGACUCAUCUUUUGUGGUGAUGACAAACUACAUCAUAACUGAAGGUCAGAAGAUGGGAAACUGUCCAGAGCUCCCAGGCAAGCACAACUGCAGCUCGGACGCCGACUGUGAAGGAGGGAGUUUCAAACGUACGGGACAUGGACAAAUGACGGGAAAGUGUGUGAAUACCACGAAGACCUGUGAAGUGUUGGCUUGGUGCCCCGUUGAGGAUGAUAACAACAUACCAGAUCCUCCUCUGUUGAUGUCUGCAGAAAACUACACACUGUUCAUCAAAAAUUCUGUAACAUUCCCCCUUUUUGAAGUCACAAGGAGUAACCUGGUGGAGGGCAUCGAUAAUAAUUACAUCAGCAAAUGCCUUUAUGAUCAAGAGGAUUCUCCACUGUGUCCCAUAUUCAAACUGGGAGACAUAGUUAAAAUGUCUGGCUUCAAUUUUGAGACAAUAGCCAAAGUGGGAGGGGCCAUUGGGAUUGUGAUCGACUGGACAUGCAACCUAGAUUUCAAUGUAAAGCACUGUAAACCAAUGUACAACUUCCAUGGGCUGUACGGAAACCCUGAUGAGAAAGACAAAGCCAGAGCUUCAGUGGGCUACAAUUUCAGGUUUGCAAAGCAUUAUAUGGAGGAUAAAGUUCAGCAAAGAACCCUUCUCAAAGUGUUUGGGAUCAGGAUCGAUAUCAUUGUGCAGUCACUGGCAAGAAAAUUCGAUAUCAUCCCAACACUGACAGCUAUAGGCUCUGGAGUGGGCAUUUUUGGAGUGGCAACUGUAGUCUGUGACUUGGUGCUACUCUACUUGCUACCAAAAAGAGAAUUUUACAAGAACAUGAAAUUCAAAUACACAGAUACACAGACACAGGUUCCCUCUGUAACUGAAACAGACAGAACAUUUUGUAUUUACAGCAGGACAGCGAGUCGCUUGGUUUAGACACAGGCGUCUAUUACACCAUUGAAGCAAAUGCAAGACAAGUCCAUGGCAUUGACAAGUCCAACGACCCUGAUUCAGAGGCAGGUAGCACAGAGACUGAGGUAUCUAAAAAGUGACCUGGGAGCAAACUUACAAGGUGCCACUUUGAAGAUGCGCUGCACUGGAAACCUGAAAGACACACACACACACACACCCACACACACACACACUCUCUCUCAAUGGACUCAGGAGGUCAAAUGACAUUGUUCCACGUGUCCACUAUUUCUUCUUGAUCUUCAGCAGCAUCUUCUAUCAACAACUCUUAAAACCACUUGGAGGGACUGACUCUUCCUAUUGUAUGUAGAGCCCUAGCGUAGAGCAGCUGUAUGUGUACUUUUGGGUGUAGCUCGGUUUGCUUUUGUUCACACUUUGGGUGUAACCUCUGCCUCCUGUCUCUGUAUCUGUACAGGUGAAAGAACAAUUUCUGGCACUUUAGUGCUCUAUGUGUACACAAAUCAUCCAUAAGUCAUCCAUUACCUCUGCCACUCUUUGUCAAAGCAAGUUAUACACACAUAACGUGUGGAAGUGCCACCGUCAGAGUGAUUCAUCCUGUGUGUACCUUGUGAUUGACAGUUACAUUCAAUAAAAGAUGUACAGAAACA